UACGUAGGGAGCAAGCGUUGUCCGGAAUCAUUGGGCGUAAAGCGCGCGUAGGUGGCCAUGUAAGUCCGCUGUGAAAGUCAAAGGCUCAACCUUUGAAAGCCGGUGGAUACUGCAUGGCUAGAGUACGGAAGAGGCGAGUGGAAUUCCUGGUGUAGCGGUGGAAUGCGCAGAUAUCAGGAGGAACACCAAUAGCGAAGGCAGCUCGCUGGGACGUUACUGACACUAAGGCGCGAAAGCGUGGGGAGCAAACAGG
rnacentral:rRNA from 1 species